rnacentral:tRNA from 1 species
GGUCUUGUGGUUUAAUGGUUAUAACGGCGGAUUCUGAUUCCGCAAAUCCCGGUUCGAUUCCGGGCAGGACCU